rnacentral:rRNA from 1 species
GACGAACGCUGGCGGCGUGCUUAACACAUGCAAGUCGAACGGAAAGGCCCUGCGUUUGCGGGGUGCUCGAGUGGCGAACGGGUGAGUAAAACGUGAGUAUCCCGCCCUUGACAUUGGGGUAACUUUAGGAAACUGGGGCUAAUAUCGGGUAGGAGCUCCUGCUGCGUGGUGGGGGAUGGAAAGUUCCGGCCUUGGGGGAUGGACUCGCGGCUUAUCAGCUUGUUGGUGGGGUAGUGGCUUCCCAAGGCUUUGACGGGUAGCCCGCCUGAGAGGGUGGACGGCCACAUUGGUCCUGCGAUACGGCCCAGACUCCUACGUGAGGCAGCAGUGGAGAACCUUGCGCAGUGGGCGGAAGCGUGUGACGGCGGCGUCGGGUGCGGAAUGACGGCUUUCGGGUUAUGAACCACUUUCGCCUGUGCCGAGGCGUGAGUGACGGUAAUGGGUCAGGAAGCGCCGGCUAACUACGUG